CCAGACUCCUACGGGAGGCAGCAGUGAGGAAUAUUGGUCAAUGGGCGAGAGCCUGAACCAGCCAAGUAGCGUGCAGGAAGACGGCCCUAUGGGUUGUAAACUGCUUUUAUAGGGGAAUAAAGUGAGCUACGUGUAGUUUAUUGCAUGUACCCUAUGAAUAAGGACCGGCUAAUUCCGUGCCAGCAGCCGCGGUAAUACGGAAGGUUCGGGCGUUAUCCGGAUUUAUUGGGUUUAAAGGGAGCGUAGGCCGUGGAUUAAGCGUGUUGUGAAAUGUAGAUGCUCAACAUCUGACUUGCAGCGCGAACUGGUUUACUAGAGUGUGCGCAACGUAGGCGGAAUUCGUCGUGUAGCGGUGAAAUGCUUAGAUAUGACGAAGAACUCCGAUUGCGAAGGCAGCUUACGGGAGCACAACUGACGCUGAAGCUCGAAGGUGCGGGUAUCAAACAGGAUUAGAUACCCUGGUAGUCCGCACAGUAAACGAUGGAUGCCCGCUGUUGGUCCAUUAGGGUCAGCGGCCAAGCGAAAGCAUUAAGCAUCCCACCUGGGGAGUACGCCGGCAACGGUGAAACUCAAAGGAAUUGACGGGGGCCCCGCACAAGAAGGGC
rnacentral:rRNA from 1 species